GCCCAGCCGUAAAAAAUUAACUCACAACAAUCAGCGCCAGGAAAUUACGAGCAAUGCUUAAAACCCAAAGGACUUGACGGUGUCCCACCCAACUAGAGGAGCCUGUUCUAUAAUCGAUAAUCCCCGCUAUCCCGACCAUUUCUAGCUCUUCAGUCUGUAUACCUCCGUCGAAAGUCUACCAUGUGAACGUUUUCCAGUAGGCCCAAGGAUCCCCGUCAACACGUCAGGUCAAGGUCAGCUUACGAAAUGGGAAGUGAUGGGCUACAAUUUCUAACCUAGAACAAACGAAAUACUGUGUGAAAUCACAGUCACGAAGGCGGAUUUAGCAGUAAAAAGAAAAUAGAGUGUUCUUUUUAACCCGGCUCUGGGAUGUGUACAAACCGCCCGUCACCCUCUUCGACCACAUUAACCUAGUUCAUAACCCAACAUCAGCUGACCUAGAAGAGGCAAGUCGUAACAUGGUAAGUGUACUGGAAAGUGCACUUGGUAAACUACAAAGUGUAGCUUAA
rnacentral:rRNA from 1 species